CCUACGGGGGGCUGCAGUGGGGAAUAUUGGGCAAUGGGCGCAAGCCUGACCCAGCAACGCCGCGUGAAGGAAGAAGGCUUUCGGGAUGUAAACUUCUGUUAAGAGGGAAGAGCAAAAGACGGUACCUCUUGAAUAAGCCACGGCUAACCACGUGCCAGCAGCCGCGGUAAUACGUAGGUGGCAAGCGUUGUCCGGAUUUACUGGGUGUAAAGGGCGUGUAGCCGGACUAACAAGUCAGAUGUGAAAGUCCGGGGCGCAACCCCGGACCUGCCUUGGAAACUGUUGGUCUUGAGUAGCGGAGAGGCAGGCGGAAUUCCUAGUGUAGCGGUGAAAUGCGUAGAUAUUAGGAGGAACACCAGUGGCGAAGGCGGCCUGCUGGACGACAACUGACGGUGAGGCGCGAAAGCGUGGGGAGCAAACAGGAUUAGAUACCCUUGUAGUC
rnacentral:rRNA from 1 species